rnacentral:rRNA from 1 species
GUGCCAGCAGCCGCGGUAAUACCGGCAGCACAAGUGAUGGCCGAUCUUAUUGGGCCUAAAGCGUCCGUAGCUGGCCGGACAAGUCCGUUGGGAAAUCUACGUGCUUAACACGUGGGCGUCCAGCGGAAACUGUCUGGCUUGGGGCCGGAAGACUCAAGGGGUACGUCCGGGGUAGGAGUGAAAUCCCGUAAUCCUGGACGGACCGCCGGUGGCGAAAGCGCCUUGAGAGGACGGACCCGACAGUGAGGGACGAAAGCCAGGGUCUCGAACCGGAUUAGAAACCCCAGUAGUCC